GACGAACGCUGGCGGCGUGCUUAACACAUGCAAGUCGAACGGAAAGGCCCUGCUUUUGUGGGGUGCUCGAGUGGCGAACGGGUGAGUAACAUGUGAGUAACCUGCCCUUGACUUUGGGAUAACUUCAGGAAACUGGGGCUAAUACCGGAUAGGAGCUCCCGCUGCAUGGUGGGGGUUGGAAAGUUUCGGCGGUUGGGGACGGACUCGCGGCUUAUCAGCUUGUUGGUGGGGUAGUGGCUUACCAAGGCUUUGACGGGUAGCCGGCCUGAGAGGGUGACCGGCCACAUUGGGACUGAGAUACGGCCCAGACUCCUACGGGAGGCAGCAGUGGGGAAUAUUGCACAAUGGGCGGAAGCCUGAUGCAGCAACGCCGCGUGCGGGAUGACGGCCUUCGGGUUGUAAACCGCUUUCGCCUGUGACGAAGCGUGAGUGACGGUAAUGGGUAAAGAAGCACCGGCUAACUACGUG
rnacentral:rRNA from 1 species